UUCCGGUUCACGUACGAUCACCGAAGUUAAGCAAAGUCGAACAUGGCCAGUACCUAGAUGGGUGACCGCUUGGGAAUACAGGCGCUGUAAG